CAGCAGCCACGGGAAUACGUAGGUGGCAAGCGUUGUCCGGAAUUAUUGGGCGUAAAGGGCUCACAGGCGGUUUCUUAAGUCUGAUGUGAAAGCCCCCGGCUCAACCGGGGAGGGUCAUUGGAAACUGGGAAACUUGAGUGCAGAAGAGGAGAGUGGAAUUCCACGUGUAGCGGUGAAAUGCGUAGAGAUGUGGAGGAACACCAGUGGCGAAGGCGACUCUCUGGUCUGUAACCGACGCUGAGGAGCGAAAGCGUGGGGAGCGAACAGGAUUAGAUACCCGCGUAGUCCCUGUCUCUUAUAC
rnacentral:rRNA from 1 species